rnacentral:rRNA from 3 species
UGGUGGGUAGUUUGACUGGGGCGGUCUCCUCCUAAAGAGUAACGGAGGAGCACGAAGGUUGGCUAAUCCUGGUCGGACAUCAGGAGGUUAGUGCAAUGGCAUAAGCCAGCUUGACUGCGAGCGUGACGGCGCGAGCAGGUGCGAAAGCAGGUCAUAGUGAUCCGGUGGUUCUGAAUGGAAGGGCCAUCGCUCAACGGAUAAAAGGUACUCCGGGGAUAACAGGCUGAUACCGCCCAAGAGUUCAUAUCGACGGCGGUGUUUGGCACCUCGAUGUCGGCUCAUCACAUCCUGGGGCUGAAGUAGGUCCCAAGGGUAUGGCUGUUCGCCAUUUAAAGUGGUACGCGAGCUGGGUUUAGAACGUCGUGAGACAGUUCGGUCCCUAUCUGCCGUGGGCGCUGGAGAACUGAGGGGGGCUGCUCCUAGUACGAGAGGACCGGAGUGGACGCAUCACUGGUGUUCGGGUUGUCAUGCCAAUGGCACUGCCCGGUAGCUAAAUGCGGAAGAGAUAAGUGCUGAAAGCAUCUAAGCACGAAACUUGCCCCGAGAUGAGUUCUCCCUGAGACUUAGAGUCUCCUGAAGGAACGUUGAAGACGACGACGUUGAUAGGCCGGGUGUGUAAGCGCAGCGAUGCGUUGAGCUAACCGGUACUAAUGAACCGUGAGGCUUAACCUUACAACGC